rnacentral:rRNA from 1 species
GAUGAACGCUGGCGGCGUGCCUAAUACAUGCAAGUCGAGCGAACAGACGAGGAGCUUGCUCCUCUGACGUUAGCGGCGGACGGGUGAGUAACACGUGGAUAACCUACCUAUAAGACUGGGAUAACUUCGGGAAACCGGAGCUAAUACCGGAUAAUAUAUUGAACCGCAUGGUUCAAUAGUGAAAGACGGUUUUGCUGUCACUUAUAGAUGGAUCCGCGCCGCAUUAGCUAGUUGGUAAGGUAACGGCUUACCAAGGCAACGAUGCGUAGCCGACCUGAGAGGGUGAUCGGCCACACUGGAACUGAGACACGGUCCAGACUCCUACGGGAGGCAGCAGUAGGGAAUCUUCCGCAAUGGGCGAAUGCCUGACGGAGCAACGCCGCGUGAGUGAUGAAGGUCUUCGGAUCGUAAAACUCUGUUAUUAGGGAAGAACAAAUGUGUAAGUAACUAUGCACAUCUUGACGGUACCUAAUCAGAAAGCCACGGCUAACUACGUG